UACGUAGGGGGCUAGCGUUGUCCGGAAUCAUUGGGCGUAAAGAGCGUGUAGGCGGUCCGGUAAGUCCGCUGUGAAAGUCGGGGGCUCAACCCUCGAAUGCCGGUGGAUACUGUCGGGCUAGAGUGCGGAAGAGGCGAGUGGAAUUCCUGGUGUAGCGGUGAAAUGCGCAGAUAUCAGGAGGAACACCUAUUGCGAAGGCAGCUCGCCGGGACGUUACUGACGCUGAGACGCGAAAGCGUGGGGAGCAAACAGG
rnacentral:rRNA from 1 species